rnacentral:lncRNA from 1 species
UGAGUUGACACCGUUUACCCUAGACACUUGAGAGAAACACUGAUAGUGCAUCUGUGAGGUUCUGUUGCUUUUGAUUCAUCUCUUGAAUUGAUUGAUCAUUUUGCCAUGUCUUGAAUUGCUUGGAUGAUUUCUCUGAGUAUCUGUUUUCUCUGAUUCAGUGUUGGAUAUUUUCUACUUCUUAUCUUUGUCCAGAUUUCUUGAGAAUUGUGUAAUUCUGUUUGUUUCUUUCAUUGUGAGUCUUUGUCGUCUGUCUGUUGAGUUUGUGUCAAUUCCCUGAUGUCCGUUGAACUGUUCCCUGAUUUUCGUCUUGGUUUUGCCC